rnacentral:rRNA from 1 species
UACGAAGGGGGCUAGCGUUGCUCGGAAUCACUGGGCGUAAAGGGCGCGUAGGCGGGCCUUUAAGUCAGGGGUGAAAUCCUGGAGCUCAACUCCAGAACUGCCUUUGAUACUGAAGAUCUUGAGGUCGGGAGAGGUGAGUGGAACUGCGAGUGUAGAGGUGAAAUUCGUAGAUAUUCGCAAGAACACCAGUGGCGAAGGCGGCUCCCUGGCCCGAUACUGACGCUGAGGCACGAAAGCGUGGGGAGCAAACAGG